rnacentral:piRNA from 1 species
UGAUAAACCCCAGGUGCAGGAGGACGGU